rnacentral:misc_RNA from 1 species
AAGUCGUAACAAGGUUUCCGUAGGUGAACCUGCGGAAGGAUCAUUAACACGUAUCCAACGUUAAACAACCCUGUGAACCUUGAACGUGCUCCUGCGGCCCCAUGAAAUCAGCAAUCCCUGGUAAAUCAUUGUUGACCAGCUUUUGAGUCAGGGAUCUCUGCCGAAACGGCUGUUCAGUACCGAGCGCAGUGUAAGCGACCUGGCAUCCCUAAGCGAUCAGUGUCUGAAAGUGUCAUUGAUUGUGUAAGGAUGGCGCAGUAAACGAUUGCUAGAGGCCCACACGGCCGGCAACCGGGUCAGUGAGCUCUGCUCCCGCUGUUACGUCAAAACCCCAAGUUCCCCUCUAGUGAAAGCUAUUGGGUUAUAACUAAACGACUGUUAACAAUGGAUAUCUCGAUUCUC